UAUUUACAGAUUAGAAGGCAGAAAUUCUAAGACUGUUAACAGUUGUCAUUGCCUACCAAACUCAUGGAUUUCCAUCAGCAGUUUCUAAAAUUUAUGCUAAUAAGAUUAAUAUCCUGGAUUUAAUGAAACAGUGUCUAUAGAGAGAUCUGAGAUCUGGCAUAAGAUCUGAGAAAUAGGUCCCUGUACUUUUGGAAAUUCUAAGGAUCUCCUUUCAACACCAGUAUUUUCUGUGGUUACAGAAGCAUCUUCAGUCAGUUGUCACAAGAGUCUGACAUCUGUUUUUCUUGAAAAAUACUUUACUACUCCUGAAGACCUGCAGAAGGAGAUAUCAGGGAAAGCAAAUAAUCUGACUGAUGGGAAUAUUUAAAGGUUAACAUUCAG
rnacentral:lncRNA from 12 species